AGAGUUUGAUCCUGGCUCAGAACGAACGCUGGCGGCAGGCCUAACACAUGCAAGCCAAACGGCCCUUUUGGGCAGUGGCGCACGGGUGCGUAACACGUGGGAAUGUACAUCUUGGUUCGGAAUAACACAGAGAAAUUUGUGCUAAUACCGUAUAAUCCCUUCGGGGCAAAGAUUUAUCGCCAAGGAAUCAGCCCGCGCUAGAUUAGGUAGUUGGUAGGGUAAAAGCCUACCAAGCCGACGAUCUAUAGCUGGUCUUAGAGGAUGAUCAGCCACACUGGUACUGAGACACGGACCAGACUCCUACGGGAGGCAGCAGUGAGGAAUAUUGCGCAAUGGGGGAAACCCUGACGCAGCCAUGCCGCGUGAGUGAAGAAGGCUCUCGGGUUGUAAAGCUCUUUCAGAUGCGAAGAUAAUGACGGUAACAUCAGAAGAAGCUCCGGCUAAAUUCGUGCCAGCAGCCGCGGUAAUACGAAUGGAGCGAGCGUUGUUCGGAAUCACUGGGCGUAAAGCGUAUGUAGGCGGAAUGGCAAGUCAGAAGUGAAAUCCCGGGGCUCAACCCCGGAACUGCUUUUGAAACUGCCUUUCUCGAGUCCCGGAGGGGCCAGUAGAAUUCCUAGUGUAGAGGUGAAAUUCGCAGAUAUUAGGAGGAAUACCAGUGGCGUAGGCGACUGGCUGGACGGGUACUGACGCUGAGAUACGAAAGCGUGGGGAGCAAGCAGGAUUAGAUACCCUGGUAGUCCACGCCGUAAACGAUGUGUGCUAGUUGUCGGGUUU
rnacentral:rRNA from 1 species